UACGGAAAGGUGCAAGCGUUACUCGGAAUCACUGGGCGUAAAGCGCGCGUAGGCGGUCCUGUAUGUCGAUUGUGAAAGCCCCGGGCUCAACCUGGGAACAGCAGCCGAAACUGCAGGACUGAAUGUUGGAGAGGGUGGGGGAAUACCUAGUGGAGAAGUGAAAUUCGUAGAGAUUAGGUGGAACACCAGAGGCGAAGGCGCCUGCCUGGCCAAACAUUGACGCUGAGGCGCGAAAGCGUGGGGAGCAAACAGG
rnacentral:rRNA from 1 species